UACAGCAUAUUGUAUAUAAUUUAAUGUGUUAAAUUUAUUUAGUUAUCACAAAACUGUAUAUGUUUAAAUAUAAAUUCCAUGGAACUUAACAUGCGCGAAAACGAGACAUAAAUGUAAUAUUUUAUCUAUUUCAAAAGUAAUUAGACGAUCAACUGUCAUUUUUAUCAUUAACACAGAAGAACAUAUCAUAAAUUAAAUUUCAUUGCAUUUUUUUAAUCAAUGCAAGUAUAUAAAGUCUUGGAUCUGUUUAUUCAUUCGAAAGAAUUAUAAGAGUGCAGUAGUUUGUUCUAACAACCAGAUUUUGCGCAAAGAAAUUUGUUGUAGUUACAUUUUUCGUUUGAUAAAAAUUAAACUAUUUUAUAUCCACUAGCGAUUACUUGCUGUUUCAAUUGCAUUUCGACGAACGGAAAACUUAUACUGUAACGAAUACUUGUUGCAUCAACUGCAUUUUGAGGAAUAAAUAAAUAAUUAAAAUGGAUGUUGUAAAAAAACUUAAGUCACAAGCUAAAAAUGAAUAUGUCUCUAUGUCAUCAUUACAAUUGGAUCGUCCAUAUCCAGUAACACAGCUGAGAGCUGUUGAAACCAGGUAUGGACACUCCAUAAUUGCACGAUUGGAAAAUGGUUGCCAGUUAUGUCUACCAAAAUCUAUAUUUCUUUUCGAUGAAGAAAUAGUGCAUUUUAAUAGCAGUGAAAAAAAAUUAUGUUUAAUAUAUCACGGAAAACGUGGUAAAGCAUAUAACUUUUCUUUUAUAUAAUUCAAAAAAUAAUAUAACGUUCAUAAUUUUUUUACAAACAAUUAACAAUA